GUGGGGAAUAUUGGACAAUAGGCGAAAGCCUGAUCCAGCCAUGCCGCGUGUGUGAAGAAGGUCUUCGGAUUGUAAAGCACUUUAAGUUGGGAGGAAGGGCAGUAAGUUAAUACCUUGCUGUUUUGACGUUACCGACAGAAUAAGCACCGGCUAACUUCGUGCCAGCAGCCGCGGUAAUACGAAGGGUGCAAGCGUUAAUCGGAAUUACUGGGCGUAAAGCGCGCGUAGGUGGUUUUGUAAGUUGGAGGUGAAAUCCCCGGGCUCAACCUGGGAACUGCCUCCAAAACUGCAUGACUAGAGUACGGUAGAGGGUAGUGGAAUUUCCUGUGUAGCGGUGAAAUGCGUAGAUAUAGGAAGGAACACCAGUGGCGAAGGCGACUACCUGGACUGAUACUGACACUGAGGUGCGAAAGCGUGGGGAGCAAACAGGAUUAGAAACCCUUGUAGUCC
rnacentral:rRNA from 1 species